UACAGAGGUCUCAAGCGUUGUUCGGAUUCAUUGGGCGUAAAGGGUGCGUAGGUGGCAUGGUAAGUCGGAUGUGAAAUCCCGGGGCUCAACCCCGGAACUGCAUUCGAUACUGCUGCGCUAGAGUACUGGAGAGGAGAUUGGAAUUUACGGUGUAGCAGUGAAAUGCGUAGAGAUCGGAAAGAACACCAACGGCGAAAGCACUCUGCUGGGCCGACACUGACACUGAGAGACGAAAGCUAGGGGAGCGAAUGGG
rnacentral:rRNA from 1 species